GACGAACGCUGGCGGCGUGCUUAACACAUGCAAGUCGAACGAUGAAGCCGGAGCUUGCUCUGGUGAAUUAGUGGCGAACGGGUGAGUAACACGUGAGUAACCUGCCCUUGACUCUGGGAUAACUGCGGGAAACUGUAGCUAAUACCGGAUACGACCCUCGGAGGCAUCUCCUGGGGGUGGAAAGAAUUUCGGUCAAGGAUGGACUCGCGGCCUAUCAGCUAGUUGGUGAGGUAAAGGCUCACCAAGGAGACGACGGGUAGCCGGCCUGAGAGGGUGACCGGACACACUGGGACUGAGACACGGCCCAGACUCCUACGGGAGGCAGCAGUGGGGAAUAUUGCAAAAUGGGCGCAAGCCUGAUGCAGCAACGCCGCGUGAGGGAUGACGGCCUUCGGGUUGUAAACCUCUUUUAGCAGGGAAGAAGCGAAAGUGACGGUACCUGCAGAAAAAGCACCGGCUAACUACGUGCCAGCCGCCGCCGUAA
rnacentral:rRNA from 1 species